GUGUGUGUAAUUUAAAUAAAAUAUCAAGCUGUGACCUUGAAAAUAGAUAUUACUCUCAUACAUC
rnacentral:tRNA from 1 species